UGUAAUGACUGCAGGCUCUUGAUGAGAGGAGGUGGAGGAGGAGAGGGAUAGUGUAAUGACUGCAGGCUCUUGAGGAGAGGAGGUGGAGGAGGAGAGGGAUAGUGUAAUGACUGCAGGCUCUUGAGGAGAGGAGGUGGAGGAGGAGAGGGAUAGUGUAAUGACUGCAGGCUCUUGAGGAGAGGAGGUGGAGGAGGAGAGGGAUAGUGUAAUGACUGCAGGCUCUUGAGGAGAGGAGGUGGAGGAGGAGAGGGAUAGUGUAAUGACUGCAGGCUCUUGAGGAGAGGAGGUGGAGGAGGAGAGGGAUAGUGUAAUGACUGCAGGCUCUUGAGGAGAGGAGGUGGAGGAGGAGAGGGAUAGUGUAAUGACUGCAGGCUCUUGAGGAGAGGAGGUGGAGGAGGAGAGGGAUAGUGUAAUGACUGCAGGCUCUUGAGGAGAGGAGGUGGAGGAGGAGAGGGAUAGUGUAAUGACUGCAGGCUCUUGAUGAGAGGAGGUGGAGGAGGAGAGGGAUAGUGUAAUGACUGCAGGCUCUAGAGGAGAGGAGGUGGAGGAGGAGAGGGAUAGUGUAAUGACUGCAGGCUCUAGAGGAGAGGAGGUGGAGGAGGAGAGGGAUAGUGUAAUGACUGCAGGCUCUUGAGGAGAGGAGGUGGAGGAGGAGAGGGAUAGUGUAAUGACUGCAGGCUCUUGAGGAGAGGAGGUGGAGGAGGAGAGGGAUAGUGUAAUGACUGCAGGCUCUUGAGGAGAGGAGGUGGAGGAGGAGAGGGAUAGUGUAAUGACUGCAGGCUCUAGAGGAGAGGAGGUGGAGGAGGAGAGGGAUAGUGUAAUGACUGCAGGCUCUUGAUGAGAGGAGGUGGAGGAGGAGAGGGAUAGUGUAAUGACUGCAGGCUCUUGAGGAGAGGAGGUGGAGGAGGAGAGGGAUAGUGUAAUGACUGCAGGCUCUUGAGGAGAGGAGGUGGAGGAGGAGAGGGAUAGUGUAAUGACUGCAGGCUCUUGAGGAGAGGAGGUGGAGGAGGAGAGGGAUAGUGUAAUGACUGCAGGCUCUAGAGGAGAGGAGGUGGA